rnacentral:rRNA from 1 species
AGCGAACGUUUGCGGCGGGCUUAACACAUGCAAGUCGAACGGGCUGUUCCUUCGGGGGCAGUCAGUGGCGCACGGGUGCGUAACACGUAGGUAAUCAACCCUCUGGUUGGGGAUAACACUUCGAAAGGAGUGCUAAUACCCGGUAUGGCGCAGCGGUCUUCGGAUCGCGGCGAGAAAGACCCGCAAGGGUUGCCAGAGGACGAGCCUGCGGCCCAUCAGCUAGUUGGCGAGGUAACGGCUCACCAAGGCGAAGACGGGUAGCUGGUCUGAGAGGAUGAUCAGCCACACUGGAACUGAGACACGGUCCAGACUCCUACGGGAGGCAGCAGUGGGGAAUAUUGCGCAAUGGGCGAAAGCCUGACGCAGCCACGCCGCGUGAGCGAUGAAGGCCUCGGUCGUAACGUACGUACUCGUGGGUAGGAGGAAGGAA